rnacentral:rRNA from 1 species
GAGUUUGAUCCUGGCUCAGAUUGAACGCCGGCGGCAGGCUUAACACAUGCAAGUCGAACGGUAACAUGAGUGCUUGCACUUGAUGACGAGUGGCGGACGGGUGAGUAAAGUAUGGGGAUCUGCCGAAUGGAGGGGGACAACAGUUGGAAACGACUGCUAAUACCGCAUAAAGUUGAGAGACCAAAGCAUGGGACUUACGGGCCAUGCGCCAUUUGAUGAACCCAUAUGGGAUUAGCUAGUUGGUAGGGUAAUGGCUUACCAAGGCGACGAUCUCUAGCUGGUCUGAGAGGAUGACCAGCCACACUGGAACUGAGACACGGUCCAGACUCCUACGGGAGGCAGCAGUGGGGAAUAUUGCACAAUGGGGGGAACCCUGAUGCAGCCAUGCCGCGCGUAUGAAGAAGGCCUUCGGGUUGUAAAGUACUUUCGGUAACGAGGAAGGUGGUGUAUCUAAUAGGUGCAUCAAUUGACGUUAAUUACAGAAGAAGCACCGGCUAACUCCGUGCCAGCAGCCGCGGUAAUACGGAGGGUGCGAGCGUUAAUCGGAAUGACUGGGCGUAAAGGGCAUGUAGGCGGAUAAUUAAGUUAGGUGUGAAAGCCCUGGGCUCAACCUAGGAAUUGCACUUAAAACUGGUUAACUAGAGUAUUGUAGAGGAGGGUAGAAUUCCACGUGUAGCGGUGAAAUGCGUAGAGAUGUGGAGGAAUACCGGUGGCGAAGGCGGCCUUCUGGACAGAUACUGACGCUGAGAUGCGAAAGCGUGGGGAGCAAACAGGAUUAGAUACCCUGGUAGUCCACGCUGUAAACGAUGUCGAUUUGGAGUUUGUUGCCUAGAGUGAUGGGCUCCGAAGCUAACGCGAUAAAUCGACCGCCUGGGGAGUACGGCCGCAAGGUUAAAACUCAAAUGAAUUGACGGGGGCCCGCACAAGCGGUGGAGCAUGUGGUUUAAUUCGAUGCAACGCGAAGAACCUUACCUGGUCUUGACAUCCACAGAAUCUUGCAGAGAUGCGAGAGUGCCUUCGGGAACUGUGAGACAGGUGCUGCAUGGCUGUCGUCAGCUCGUGUUGUGAAAUGUUGGGUUAAGUCCCGCAACGAGCGCAACCCUUAUCCUUUGUUGCCAUUGGUUCGGCCGGGAACUCAAAGGAGACUGCCGUUGAUAAAGCGGAGGAAGGUGGGGGCGACGUCAAGUCAUCAUGGCCCUUACGACCAGGGCUACACACGUGCUACAAUGGCGUAUACAAAGGGAGGCGA